GAUGAACGCUGGCGGCGUGCCUAAUACAUGCAAGUCGAGCGAACAGACGAGGAGCUUGCUCCUCUGACGUUAGCGGCGGACGGGUGAGUAACACGUGGAUAACCUACCUAUAAGACUGGGAUAACUUCGGGAAACCGGAGCUAAUACCGGAUAAUAUAUUGAACCGCAUGGUUCAAUAGUGAAAGACGGUUUUGCUGUCACUUAUAGAUGGAUCCGCGCCGCAUUAGCUAGUUGGUAAGGUAACGGCUUACCAAGGCGACGAUGCGUAGCCGACCUGAGAGGGUGAUCGGCCACACUGGAACUGAGACACGGUCCAGACUCCUACGGGAGGCAGCAGUAGGGAAUCUUCCGCAAUGGGCGAAAGCCUGACGGAGCAACGCCGCGUGAGUGAUGAAGGUCUUCGGAUCGUAAAACUCUGUUAUUAGGGAAGAACAAAUGUGUAAGUAACUAUGCACGUCUUGACGGUACCUAAUCAGAAAGCCACGGCUAACUACGU
rnacentral:rRNA from 1 species